GAUGAAUGCUGGCGGCGUGCCUAACACAUGCAAGUCGAGCGGCAGCGCGAGUAGUUUACUACUUGGCGGCGAGCGGCGGACGGCUGAGUAACACGUGAGGAACCUGCCCCAGAGACCGGGAUAACCCUCCGAAAGGAGAGCUAAUACCGGAUGCCCUACACUGAUCGCAUGUUCGGUGCAGGAAAUGGAUUCCGCUCUGGGAGGGCCUCGCGGCCUAUCAGCUUGUUGGUGAGGUAACGGCUCACCAAGGCAUCGACGGGUAGCUGGUCUGAGAGGACGAUCAGCCACACUGGGACUGAGACACGGCCCAGACUCCUACGGGAGGCAGCAGUGGGGAAUCUUGCGCAAUGGGCGAAAGCCUGACGCAGCAACGCCGCGUGGGGGAUGAAGGCUUUCGGGUUGUAAACCCCUUUCAGCAGGGACGAUUAUGACGGUACCUGCAGAAGAAGGACCGGCCAACUACGUGCCAGCAGCCGCCGUAAUAC
rnacentral:rRNA from 1 species